UGGGGAAUAUUGCACAAUGGGCGCAAGCCUGAUGCAGCCAUGCCGCGUGUGUGAAGAAGGCCUUCGGGUUGUAAAGCACUUUCAGUUGUGAGGAAAGGUGUGUAGUUAAUAACUGCAUACUGUGACGUUAGCAACAGAAGAAGCACCGGCUAACUUCGUGCCAGCAGCCGCGGUAAUACGAGGGGUGCAAGCGUUAAUCGGAAUUACUGGGCGUAAAGCGUACGUAGGCGGUUUGUUAAGCAAGAUGUGAAAGCCCAGGGCUUAACCUUGGAACUGCAUUUUGAACUGGCAAACUAGAGUACUGUAGAGGGUGGUGGAAUUUCCAGUGUAGCGGUGAAAUGCGUAGAGAUUGGAAGGAACAUCAGUGGCGAAGGCGGCCACCUGGACAGAUACUGACGCUGAGGUACGAAAGCGUGGGGAGCGAACAGG
rnacentral:rRNA from 1 species